rnacentral:lncRNA from 1 species
AAAAUUGAAAGAGUUUUGGAUUUCUAAAACUCUAUCUUAUAGAAUUCGAAAUCCAAACUUAUUCCUUUUUGAUUUGAUCCAAACCACCUUCCAUGUAAGAAAGAAGAGAGAAAACCUUUUGUGAAUGUGGGAGAGACCUGGGAGAGGGCUUUUGUCACACAAAAUAAGUGGAGAUUGGCGUUGAAUAACAGAGAGGGCGUGGGGAAGGCUUAUGUGGCGCAAGGUGGAAUCCUAGUCUUACUAGGAUUCUAUCUUAUGACUUGUUUUAAUUUGGUUUCUCAAACCAAAUCAAAUCAAAAUUAGAUCAACCUAAUUAAAAUAAGUUUUAACCUAAUUAAGAACUUAAUUUAAUCAGAUUAAAUUAGAUUUAAAUCUGAUUUAUUUUUUUAAUCAAAUUAGAAAUUAGAUUGACCCAAGUCCUAGUUGAACUAGGACUAGUUUUUCUUUGUACUUGGCUUAUCCAAUAAACCAAUUAGACUUGAUUCAAUCAAGCCCAAAAUAAAUCUAAUUAAAUCAUAUUUAAUUAGACUUAAUCUCAGCCCAUUGGUUUAAUCAAAUUAAGCCAAUUAGCAAUCGAAUUGCUAAU